rnacentral:rRNA from 1 species
GAUGAACGCUGGCGGCCUGUAGACACAGAUGAGAGCACAUGCAAGUCGAGCGAUUCUCUUCGGAGAAGAGCGGCGGACGGGUGAGUAACGCGUGGGUAACCUGCCCUGUACACACGGAUAACAUACCGAAAGGUAUGCUAAUACGAGAUAAUAUGCUUUUAUCGCAUGGUAGAAGUAUCAAAGCUCCGGCGGUACAGGAUGGACCCGCGUCUGAUUAGCUAGUUGGUGAGGUAACGGCUCACCAAGGCGACGAUCAGUAGCCGACCUGAGAGGGUGAUCGGCCACAUUGGAACUGAGACACGGUCCAAACUCCUACGGGAGGCAGCAGUGGGGAAUAUUGCACAUUGGGCGAAAGCCUGAUGCAGCAACGCCGCGUGAGCGAUGAAGGCCUUCGGGUCGUAAAGCUCUGUCCUCAAGGAAGAUAAUGACGGUACUUGAGGAGGAAGCCCCGGCUAACUAC